CCACAGUACUAAGACUGAGGUACCUGUCUACAUCAAAAGAUGAGUAGUACAAUGCAGAUGACUUAGCCAGUUUGCUGACUAGGGAUGUUGGGUGCCAGCUCUCCUAAGAAAGAUCAAAGUUACGGUGAAUGGCCAUGAUUUAAAUGGAAAUCUGAGGGAAUGGAGCAAGGACCUGUUGGAGCACCCAUGGAAAGAACCUGGGACACAAAAGAGGAAAGCAGCAAGAGACUGGCAGAGAUUGUCUCCCUAGAAACCUGGACCAUGAAAAGGGUGGGGAGGAGAAAACACUAUACUAAAUAUUACUCCUGGAAAAGUGCAUUUGCUUCAGAGAAAUCUUUAUCAUAGAUCUAACAGGAAGGAACAAUAGCACCUUCUAUGUGCCGAAGUAGCACAAUAAUGAACUCUGUUCAAGUGGAUCAAAAGCCAUCAAGGUCAAAAUUAGGCACAGGCUGUACAGGAAGCAUGAUUCUGGCAUCUGCUUGGUUUCUGGGAAGGUCUCAGGAAACUUAAAGUCACGGAAGAAGUGAAGGGAGAGCAGGCAUGUCUUAAAUGACCAAAGCAGGAAGAAGAGAGAGAAGUGUGGAGGUGCUACACACUUUUAAACAACCAGAUCUUGUGAGAACUCUGUCAGGAGAGCAGCACUAGGGGAAUGGUGCUAAACCAUUCUUGGGGACUCCAUCCCCGUGAUACAAUCACCUCCCUCCAGGCCCCACCUCCAACACUGAGAAUUACAACUCAACAUGAGAUUUGGAUGGGGACACAGAUCCAACCCAUAUCAAGUUUUCACACCUUUCAGUAAAGCUUUAUAUUUUUUAAGUACUUGGAAGUAGAAGUAGAGAAUAAGGGGAAUAUUGUACAGCCAUCACAGCCUUUGUCUACUAAAGAAGUCAGUUCCAUGUGACAAAUGUUCAUU